rnacentral:rRNA from 1 species
GACGAACGCUGGCGGCGUGCUUAACACAUGCCAGUCGAACGGAAAGGCCCUGCUUUUGUGGGGUGCUCGAGUGGCGAACGGGUGAGUAACACGUGAGUAACCUGCCCUUGACUUUGGGAUAACUUCAGGAAACUGGGGCUAAUACCGGAUAGGCGCUCCUGCUGCAUGGUGGGGGUUGGAUAGUUUCGGCGGUUGGGGAUGGACUCGCGGCUUAUCAGCUUGUUGGUGGGGUAGUGGCUUACCAAGGCUUUGACGGGUAGCCGGCCUGAGAGGGUGACCGGCGACAUUGGGACUGAGAUACGGCCCAGACUCCUACGGGAGGCAGCAGGGGAGAAUAUUGCACAAUGGGCGGAAGCCUGAUGCAGCAACGCCGCGUGCGGGAUGACGGCCUUCGGGUUGUAAACCGCUUUCGCCUGUGACGGAGCGUGAGUGACGGUAAUGGGUAAAGAAGCACCGGCUAACUACGUG